rnacentral:rRNA from 1 species
UACGGAAGGCAGCAGUGGGGAAUAUUGCACAAUGGGCGAAAGCCUGAUGCAGCUAUGCCGCGUGUAUGAAGAAGGCCUUAGGGUUGUAAAGUACUUUCAUCGGGGAGGAAAAAACAAAAACUAAUAAUUUUAUUUUCUUGACGUUACCCGAAAAAGAAGCACCGGCUAACUCCGUGCCAGCAGCCGCGGUAAUACGGAGGGUGCUAGCGUUAAUCAGAAUUACUGGGCGUAAAGAGCACGUAGGUGGUUUUUUUAAAGUUCAGAUGUGAAAUCCCUGGGCUUAACCUGGAACUGCAUUUUGAAACUGAAAUACUAGAGUAUCGUAGAGGGAGGUAGAAUUCUAGGUGUAGCGGUGAAAUGCGUAGAGAUGUGGAGGAAUACCGGUGGCGAAGGCGGCCCCUGGACAAAGACUGACGCUCAUGUGCGAAAGCGUGGGGAGCAAACAGGGAUUAGAUACC